rnacentral:rRNA from 1 species
UACGUAGGCAGCGAGCGUUGUUCGGAGUUACUGGGCGUAAAGGGUGUGUAGGCGGUUUUCUAAGUUUGGUGUGAAAUCUCCCGGCUUAACCGGGAGGGUGCGCCGAAAACUGGGAGACUAGAGUGCGGGAUGGGAGAGUAGAAUUCCUGGUGUAGCGGUGGAAUGCGCAGAUAUCAGGAGGAACACCAAUAGCGAAGGCAGCUCGCUGGGACGGUACUGACACUAAGGCGCGAAAGCGUGGGGAGCGAACAGG